rnacentral:lncRNA from 1 species
AUUACAUAAUAAAGAUGGCGAAAAGUAAAACUGAAAAUAUUACAAGUUAAAACUUAAAAUAUUACAAGGGCGAAGCAGUUACAGUGUAUGAAUAACAUAAAUAAGAGUGAAAAUAGGAAAUAAUAAUAAGGUCUGUUAAGGUUUAAGAAAAGGUUUAUGGUUUAAAGGAAAUAACACGGUUAAAGUUUUAGGUUUGAAAUUUAGAGUUUUGUGGCGAAAUUGUCAGAGUUUAGGAAAAAUCAGGGUAGUUAGUUAUGAAAGAAAUGUGCAGAUCUAAAUAUAUGUAUAUAAAAAAAAAUAUGAAUUAAAAAAAAAACAACGGCUUUGCUAGCGCAAAAUUGCGAUCAUCGCAACUGGAUCAGAUAACACAAAUGUCACGCCUCAUACACGUAUAUGUGAAAACGGCGUAUUGACACGAUCCGAUCCGAAAACAUAAU